UGAGAUUUGAGAAGAGUUGCUCCUAGUACGAGAGGACCGGAGUGAACGAACCUCUGGUGUACCGGUUGUGAUGCCAAUUGCAUUGCCGGGUAGCUACGUUCGGACGGGAUAACCGCUGAAAGCAUCUAAGCGGGAAGCCUCCUUCAAGAUGAGAUCUCA
rnacentral:ncRNA from 1 species